AUUGAACGCUGGCGGAAUGCUUUACACAUGCAAGUCGAACGGUAGAGGGGGCAACCCCUCGAGAGUGGCGAACGGGUGAGUAAUAUAUCGGAACGUGCCCAGUCGUGGGGGAUAACGUAGCGAAAGUUACGCUAAUACCGCAUACGAGCUAAGGAUGAAGGCGGGGGAUCGCAAGACCUCGCGCGAUUGGAGCGGCCGAUAACAGAUUAGGUAGUUGGUGGGGUAAAGGCUCACCAAGCCAACGAUCUGUAGCUGGUCUGAGAGGACGACCAGCCACACUGGAACUGAGACACGGUCCAGACUCCUACGGGAGGCAGCAGUGGGGAAUUCUGGACAAUGGACGCAAGUCUGAUCCAGCCAUUCCGCGUGCAGGAUGAAGGCCCUCGGGUUGUAAACUGCUUUUGUACGGAACGAAAAGGUCUCUCUUAAUACGGGGGGCUCAUGACGGUACCGUAAGAAUAAGCACCGGCUAACUACGUGCCAGCAGCCGCCGCCG
rnacentral:rRNA from 1 species